rnacentral:rRNA from 1 species
GAUGAACGCUGGCGGCGUGCCUAAUACAUGCAAGUCGAGCGAACGGACGAGAAGCUUGCUUUUCUGAUGUUAGCGGCGGACGGGUGAGUAACACGUGGAUAACCUACCUAUAAGACUGGGAUAACUUCGGGAAACCGGAGCUAAUACCGGAUAAUAUUUUGAACCGCAUGGUUCAAAAGUGAAAGACGGUCUUGCUGUCACUUAUAGAUGGAUCCGCGCUGCAUUAGCUAGUUGGUAAGGUAACGGCUUAUCAAGGCAACGAUGCAUAGCCGACCUGAGAGGGUGAUAGGCGACACUGGAACUGAGACACGGACCAGACUCCUACGGGAGGCAGCAGUAGGGAAUCUUCCGCAGUGGGCGAAAGCCUGACGGAGCAACGCCGCGUGAGUGAUGACGGUCUUCGGAUCGUAAAGCUCUGUUAUUAGGGAAGAACAUAUGUGUAAGUAACUGUGCACAUCUUGACGGUACCUAAUCAGAAAGCAACGGCUAACUACGUG